rnacentral:misc_RNA from 1 species
AAGUCGUAACAAGGUUUCUGUAGGUGAACCUGCAGAAGGAUCAUUAGUGAAGAUUCAAGGGCCGGCCAUACAGACGUACAGUAAGUGUGUCUCUGGCGGCUCGCAUCCACUAUACAUCCAUAAACCCCGUGUGCACUGUUCUAAGGAGUAAGAAAGAAGAAGAGAGAGUGCAAUGUGCUUUGCAUAAUAACUCUCUCACUCUCUUUGCUCUCAUCCGGUUAAUUACAAACUCGUAUGGAUUUGUAUGAACGUGAGAUAUAUCGUUGGACCGUCACUGGCAACAAAUAUAACCAA